GACAGAGGGUGCAAACGUUGUUCGGAAUUACUGGGCGUAAAGCGAGUGUAGGCGGUCUGUAAAGUCGGGUGUGAAAGCCCCGGGCUCAACCCGGGAAGUGCACUCGAAACUCACAGGCUAGAGUAUCGGAGAGGUUGGUGGAAUUCUCGGUGUAGAGGUGAAAUUCGUAGAUAUCGAGAGGAACACCGGUGGCGAAGGCGGCCAACUGGACGAAUACUGACGCUGAGACUCGAAAGCGUGGGGAGCAAACAGGAUUAGAUACCCUGGUAGUCCACGCCGUAAACGAUGGGUGCUAGGUGCUGCGGGCUUUGACUCCCGCUGUGCCGUAGCUAACGCGUUAAGCACCCCGCCUGGGAAGUACGGCCGCAAGGCUAAA
rnacentral:rRNA from 1 species